rnacentral:lncRNA from 1 species
CUGUAGUCUACCUUACCUAGGUGUAGUGGUGAAUGUCUGUAGUCUACCUUACCUAGGUGUAGUGGUGAAUGUCUGUAGUCUACCUUACCUAGGUGUAGAGGUGAAUGUCUGUCUGUAGUCUACCUUACCUAGGUGUAGUGGUGAAUGUCUGUCUGUAGUCUACCUUACCUAGGUGUAGUGGUGAAUGUCUGUAGUCUACCUUACCUAGGUGUAGUGGUGAAUGUCUGUAGUCUACCUUACCUAGGUGUAGUGGUGAAUGUCUGUAGUCUACCUUACCACUCAGAACAAGAGGAUUAUGGAGAUUCCUGGUCUGCAUAGCCAGCUACGGGCUAACCAGGCUAUAGAGGGAGACCCUGCCCCAAAAAACUAAGCAAAGAGAAGCAAAGGAGGACCUCUAAGCAGACUGCAGUGGGAAAACGCAGAAGACUGCAUGUGCUGCUCCCUCAGACCCUGGUCUGCCUAGCACUCUGGGAACCCAGAAAAUGGCCCUCUUCACUGUCCUCUAACUGCACAUCUUGCAGACAUGCUCCAAGUGUCUCAGUUCUCACAGGGCCCAUCUGUCCCCCUGGACACAGAGCACACUGGGGAGAUGUAAUUGCAGCCAGGGACCCUGGCAAGAAGAAAAAGGAAGAAGUACUUGUUGAUUGGAAGGUUGUGGAACCGGGCGUGGUGGAGCACGAUUUAAUCAUAGCACUUGGGAGGCAGAGGCAGGCCUGAGUUCGAGGCCAGCCUGGUCUACAGAGUGAGUUCCAGGACAGCCAGAGCUACACAGAGAAACCCUGUCUCAGAAAAACAAAAGGUUGUAGGACCUGUGCCAUGCAGUGGCUCCAGGCUGUAAUUAAAUCUUGCAUUGUAAGGAAACUACAGACUGCUAGGAAGAGGCUUUUAGCCAUUUAGGUGUUUUGUUGUUGUUUUGUUUUAAAGCUAACAUCGAUCAGUGCUCUGUGGCUGGAAUUUCAAAUCCACUUAAUGCAAUUAGAAUCCACAAACUCUCAGGUUACACAGAAUCAGGGAGAAUGAAGCAGGAGGUUUGGCAGUGUCUUUUUUUCCUGCUAAUUAAUAGUGGUCCUGGGCAGGCUGAAGUAACUUCCUCCUUUAUUGACAGGCUAUCCUGUUCGAUAACACUAGAGGUUUAUAGUGCUGGGUCUGGUGCUGCAGGCUGAUAAUUGCCCUACUCCCGAGGUUAUAUCAGAGGACCUCAAGUUCAAGGCCUUGCUUGGACAAUUUAGUGAGACCCAGUCUAAAAAAAAUUAUGUGGCACAAGCCUUUAAUCUCAUCACUCGGGAGGCAGCAGUAGAUGAAUCUCUGUAAGUUCAAGGCCAACCUGCUCUACAGAGUGAGUUUCAGGUCAGCCAGAACCAAAUAGAGUAAGCCACUGUUUCCAAAACCUUUUAAAAAUAGAAAAGAUUUAUUAAAAAUGAUUUUAAUAAAAUGGUGAACUAGACUUCUCUGGCACUGUUGAUCCCCUGCCUUGUCUUCAUUAAAUAAAACCCCCAAACUCCUUACAUGCAACUGUGACUAUAGUUAUCACAUUAUGGUCCUACAUACAUACAACCAGGUGACCUCAUGAGUGUGAUCUCAUCUGGGUUAGGGUCUACACCAGAUGAAGUCAGUUUUACCAGAGGUUCUCAGCCUGUGGGAUGUGCCCCUUGGAGGGGGUGUUGGGUGACCCUUUCACAGGAAUCACCCGUAAGAUAGCCUGCACAUCGGGUAUAUACAUUACAAUUUCUAUGAUUUGAAUCCCAGGUUUUUUGAGUAUUAGUAAUGAUGCCCAAAAAGUUUC